AUGGAUGAGAUCCCUGAAGCCCCGCCAAGAGCAACCAACGUUGCCCCUCAACCGGUGAUGAUCUCCUUGCCACAACAACUCUCGCGUGCUUCCCCCAAGGAAACUAAUACUCCUAAUCCGACGGCUGAUGUAUCAACCUGUGAUCAGCCUACCCGACUUUGCGCUGUACAGGCCAUGUCAUCGUCCGCCCCAGAGCAGCCAGUGGCAAGGCCUACAACUGCUGAAGAUGCACCACCGGUUCAGAUGCCGUCCGCUGAAGCAGUGGGGGAUGCAUGCUCAGCAGACCAACCUGGUGGAAUGGACUACUAA
rnacentral:rRNA from 1 species